ensembl:snRNA U6 U6 spliceosomal RNA
GUGCUUACUUCAGCAGCACAUAUACUAAAGUUGGAAUGAUACAGAGAAUAUCAGCAUGGCCCCUAUUCAAGAAUAGCACACCAAUUAUUUACUGACAAUCUCU